rnacentral:rRNA from 1 species
UACGUAGGGUGCAAGCGUUGUCCGGAUUUAUUGGGCGUAAAGAGCUCGUAGGUGGUUUGUCGCGUUGUCCGUGAAAACUCACAGCUCAACUGUGGGCGUGCGGGCGAUACGGGCAGACUGGAGUACUGCAGGGGAGACUGGAAUUCCUGGUGUAGCGGUGGAAUGCGCAGAUAUCAGGAGGAACACCGGUGGCGAAGGCGGGUCUCUGGGCAGUAACUGACGCUGAGGAGCGAAAGCGUGGGGAGCGAACAGG